rnacentral:tRNA from 1 species
GUUCGGGUGGUGGAAUGGUAGACACGGAGGACUUAAAAUCCUUUGGACGUUUGUCCGUGUGAGUUCGAGUCUCACCCCGAGCA